GACGAACGCUGGCGGCGUGCCUAAUACAUGCAAGUAGAACGCUGAAGAGAGGAGCUUACUCUUCUUGGAUGAGUUGCGAACGGGUGAGUAACGCGUAGGUAACCUGCCUUGUAGCGGGGGAUAACUAUUGGAAACGAUAGCUAAUACCGCAUAACAAUGGAUGACACAUGUCAUUUAUUUGAAAGGGGCAAUUGCUCCACUACAAGAUGGACCUGCGUUGUAUUAGCUAGUAGGUGAGGUAAUGGCUCACCUAGGCGACGAUACAUAGCCGACCUGAGAGGGUGAUCGGCCACACUGGGACUGAGACACGGCCCAGACUCCUACGGGAGGCAGCAGUAGGGAAUCUUCGGCAAGGGGGGCAACCCUGACCGAGCAACGCCGCGUGAGUGAAGAAGGUUUUCGGAUCGUAAAGCUCUGUUGUAAGUCAAGAACGGGUGUGAGAGUGGAAAGUUCACACUGUGACGGUAGCUUACCAGAAAGGGACGGCUAACUACGUG
rnacentral:rRNA from 1 species